CAACUGCAUUCAAAUAAGCAUCCGGAACUCGUUCGGCUACAAUAGGAAACACAGCAACACAAGUGUCUCCCCAGUUAUGAAUGCGAUCAGUGCACUUUUAAAAGUUAUGGAUAGGAAAUGACGAUGGGGACGCCGACAUCUAUGGUACUUCCCUUACAUACGUGACGUGGCCAAGAAGACAAACGCGAAUGUGAAGCGACGAGCUUUCUAACAAAUCGAUCAGUCAGAAACACCAUUCUGCUCAAAAAUCAAACAAGCUACCAGUAAUAAUGGUGACGGACGUACAACUGGCGAUUUUCGCCAAUAUGCUCGGCGUUUCGCUCUUCCUGCUGGUGGUCCUUUACCAUUACGUUGCUGUCAAUAACCCAAAGAAACUGGAGUGAAGUAGCUCUCCAACUGAUUUGGAAGGGACCAUUCCGUGUGUGAUGAGACUCCUCGAUUGCCAUAAUGGAACGACAUGCACUGCUUAAAUCAGCCUGUAAAUGACUAUUUUGUUUGGAUUAUGUUGUGAAUAAAAAUAUUCAUGGAGUUGCUUUAA